rnacentral:rRNA from 1 species
AGUGAACGCUGGCGGUAGGCCUAACACAUGCAAGUCGAACGGCAGCACAGUAAGAGCUUGCUCUUACGGGUGGCGAGUGGCGGACGGGUGAGGAAUACAUCGGAAUCUACUUUUUCGUGGGGGAUAACGUAGGGAAACUUACGCUAAUACCGCCUACGACCUACGGGUGAAAGCAGGGGAUCUUCGGACCUUGCGCGAUUGAAUGAGCCGAUGUCGGAUUAGCUAGUUGGCGGGGUAAAGGCCCACCAAGGCGACGAUCCGUAGCUGGUCUGAGAGGAUGAUCAGCCACACUGGAACUGAGACACGGUCCAGACUCCUACGGGAGGCAGCAGUGGGGAAUAUUGGACAAAGGGCGCAAGCCUGAUCCAGCCAUACCGCGUGGGUGAAGAAGGCCUUCGGGUUGUAAAGCCCUUUUGUUGGGAAAGAAAAGCAGCAGGUUAAUACCCCGCUGUUCUGACGGUACCCAAAGAAUAAGCACCGGCUAACUUCGUG